AUUGAACGCUGGCGGCAUGCCUUACACAUGCAAGUCGAACGGCAGCACGGGAGCAAUCCUGGUGGCGAGUGGCGAACGGGUGAGUAAUAUAUCGGAACGUGCCCAGUCUGGGGGAUAACGUAGCGAAAGCUACGCUAAUACCGCAUACGAUCUAUGGAUGAAANCGGGGGAUCGCAAGACCUCGCGCGAUUGGAGCGGCCGAUAUCAGAUUAGGUAGUUGGUGAGGUAAAGGCUCACCAAGCCGACGAUCUGUAGCUGGUCUGAGAGGACGACCAGCCACACUGGGACUGAGACACGGCCCCAGACUCCUACGGGAGGCAGCAGUGGGGAAUUUUGGACAAUGGGCGCAAGCCUGAUCCAGCAAUGCCGUGUGCAGGAUGAAGGCCUUCGGGUUGUAAACUGCUUUUGUACGGAACGAAACGGUGAGCUCUAAUACAGUUUGCUAAUGACGGUACCGUAAGAAUAAGCACCGGCUAACUACGUG
rnacentral:rRNA from 1 species